rnacentral:lncRNA from 1 species
CAUCAUUCUUCAUCUUCCCCUAGAAAUAUCAUAAGAGAAGAAAGUAAAAAAGAAGUAUAAUACGCCUGGUUCACGAGGUUCUACCACUUUCGUUAUAGGCCCAAUCAUAGUCAAAAGAAGAGUUUGAUUCUAUAUAAAAUAAAAAACCGCAGUAACAGCUUAAUCAGCAACUUUGGUACCGACAUCCACUUUUUUUUGUUCUAUACUCUCCACUUGAUGUGGAAGCUGUACAAUCAUACACAAAACUUUGAUUAUGAAACUUUGGCCGUGGUUCAAAUGUAUACAUGCAAAUUUAAUUUGAUUCAAUUAUACAUAUUUAAAUAAAUAAAUUAUUCAAUUUAUUGUGUCUUUAAUAUAAUUAUUUCUAUAUGCAAUAUAUAAAUAUAAAACUAUGUUAUAUCAAUAAUUGUGUUAAUAAUUUAUGAGAACUGAAUCAAAUCAAAUUUUUAUAUAUAAAAUUGUACAAAAUCAAAAUGUAUUUAUACUGUAAUCGGCCAAAAUUGUUCGCCCCAAGACCCAUAAACAAUAAACAAAAAAGAGACCAAAACAGUCCAAUUUUUAAGCCGAAAAUACAAAAAAAUAGAAACCUAAACCACUACCCAAACCCUAAACCCAUCAGACCUAAACCCAAAACAAACCCCAACCUCAACCCUUUCUUGCGUCGUUCUAGCAGGCCACACGCCUCCCUCGCGCGCCGCAACGUGCGCCACUCCACCACACCACGUCGGAGUCGUGCUCGAUCACGCACCUGUAAACAAGCAAGAAACAGUUGUAAAAAAAAGGCUAUAAAAGCUUUCGAAAACAUUUGUAAAAAGGGAUCAAUUUUUUUCAAAAAAUAUACAAGAGAAAUAGAAUACGAAAUAUAAUAUAAGAUACACAUGAAAAUCAGUAGAAAAGCGACCAAGAAUAUUUCUAAGGUGAUUAUUUACUACAAUUUUGUUCCAUUUUUCCUUUUUCUUUUCUCCAUUUAGAUCCACAGCACAUACGAAGAAUCGGAGAGAGGAGAAGAGGCUUACCGUGCGUUGUGCUUGCACCGUUGGAGGACCUUGCUUCGCCGGUUACAAGGGGGUUGAAGGCCUGAACACUAGCCUUUCGGCUGGGAAACAAUGAGAGUGAGGGAAUGGAGAAAAUAAUAAGAAACUUUUAGGGUUUUCUAAAAGCUUCUUAAAUGUUUUAAAUAUAUAUAUAUAAAAUAAAUGUUUUUUUUUAAUUUUGAAAUAGCAAUAUUUGGGGUGGGGGGAGAAAGAAGCCCGCGUAGUGACCCGAUUAAUAGGCUGGGUCCGCGCAUUUUUACCUUGAAUGGGUAAUUUUCGGUCCCAGUCCUUCCCAUUUGUACUACUUUUUAAUUUGGCCCUAUUUGAAUCCUAUUUGUUUUUAAAUUGCCCGUGGAUGUUGCGCAUAAACUCAUUUUAAUCCACGCCUGAACGCUGCAUUUUGUGGGCUUGGAAUUUUUUUCCUAUCGGUCCUUCCCCUUUGCACGUGCGCCUACUUUGGUCCCAAUUCAUGAUUUGGUAUUUCUUGGUAUUUUACGACUUGCACCCCAUGUUUCAUUUUGAUUAUGAUUAAAUCCCAAACCUUUUAUAACUCCAAUUAUUUUCAUUUUUUGUUGUGCUUAUUAAAUAUUUUAUUACUUCCAUUAUUAUUAUUUUGUUUUUGUUUACUAUUUCGUUUUUACAUGCUUUUCAACAUUGGAUUGCUAAUAUAUUAUUAUUAUUAAGAUUAUUCUUGCUAUCAUAUAUUAUUGCUAUUAUCGAAACUAUCAGAUAUUAUUAUUAUCAUUACUAUUUUCGUUAUUAUUCUUAUUACUAUUUACAUUAUUAUUAUUACUAUUUCUGUUAUUAUCACUUUUACUAAUUUUUUCCUAUUAUUAUUUUACUAUCAUUUUUUUAAUACUAAAGUGUUUCUUUAAUAUUAUUAUAUUUUUCGUUAUUCUUAUUGUUUUAAAAAAAUCUAUCAUAUGAUAUGUUCUUAAAAUUAUGUAUGAUAUUUAAUUAGGUCACCUUUAUGUAUUAUUACAUACACAAAAUUUAUAUUAGCUUAUCUACAUACAUUAUAAAUCUCAUGUUGUUUCAUAUUUGUAUUUUCUUAAGAAUUUACUUAUAUACCAUCUGUUUCUUUUAAAAACCCUAUUUUUCCAGAUUUUUACGCACUCUCACCAAUUAGUAUUUUCUAUAUUUUAUUUUUAUUCAUUUUAUAAUCGCUCGUGUUUUAAAAAAAAACCCUCUCAACAUAAGGAAAUAUUUCGUGUUUGGAAGUUGAGAGAUCGGGCCCAAUCAUACUGGGUUUCGAUUUUUUUUCAUUCAACUGAAAUAUGGAAUACCCUUGUGAAAUUUCGCCUACGUUUUCUUAAAUUAAAACGAGGUAAUAUUUUGUGUUUGGGAGUUUGAAAGAUCAUGCCCAAUCAUGCUGGGUUUCAAUUUUUCAUUCGACAAAAGUACAGAAUAUCCAUUUGAAAUUUCAUCUAUGUUUUUUUAAAUUAAAAUGAGGCAAUAUUCCGUAUUUAGAAAAUUGAUAAAUCGUGCCCAAUCGUGCUGAGUUUCGAAGUAUCGUUUGGCCAAAUAGCUAAAUAUCCUUUUUAAAUUUCAAAUACAUGAGUUUCGGAAAUUAUGAGGUGAUCUUGUAUUGAGGGUUUGAAAUGUUGUAUCCAAUCGUGCUAGAUGUGAUAUUUUAUUCCUUCUGAACGAGAGGAUCUCGACUUUCAAGCUAAACGUUUUUAAAGGAAUCACAUUUUAAAUUUUUUUUUAAGUUUUCAACAUUAGGAAGUUAAUUGAUCAGUACGGUAUGAACUUUGGGCGUUGCAAGGGUGCUGAUCUUUCCUCGAGCGUAACCGACUCCCGAAUCCAUUUUCUAGUUUUUCACAGACUAAAAAACGUUGUUUUAAUAAACCAAAAUGCUUUAUUAAAAUGAUCGAUCACAGGUUGACCCGAUCACACCUGAACAAAAAGGAUUGGUGGCGACUCCAUACUUCGUUUUAAAGUCGAUCCCCAUUUUUCAAAAUAAAAAUGGUUUCGACAUAUACAAUUGCACAUUAAAUCGAAGUUUAUACAUAGAUUUGAGAUUUAUCCAAAGAGAGAGAGAGAGAGAGAGAGAAGAGAUUAAAAAAAAGGCUUAUAAUUCACACAUUGGUACCUAAACUAUACCCUUUUCACCAUCUUGGUACCUAAACUACUUUUUUCCCAAGUUGAUACCUCCGUUAGUUAACUCAUUAAAUCUAUUAUAAAAAAGGCUUAACUCGCAUACCUAAACUAUUCCCUUUUGUCUAAGUUGCUAUCUAAACUUUUUUUUUGUCACAAGUGGUAUUUAAACUAUUCUUUUGUUACCCAUUUUAUGCUAAAAUAUUAUAUUCAUUAUAAAAAAAUGUCAAUAAUAAACUGCUAUAUCAUAUAAACUUAAAAAUAAAAAUUAUAUUUUUUACAAUUCUUUUUUUUUAUUUUACAUUAUUUCUCUCUCUCUUUUUUCUUUUUUCCUUUUUUUUCCUUCUUCCUUUAUAAUGUUUGACAAUAAUUGCUUAAAAGCUACCCUUCCAAGAUCUAGAUGUUGGUGAUUAAUUUUGAUUUUGGACUUCACAACUUACAUGCUCUACUUGACGAGAUCAAAAAAGUUAUUUUAUCGAUCAAAAUUAUAUUUUUAGAACCGGUCGAGAUAUUGGUCCAGGGACAAGGACAGGGGUUGAAUCAAUUAACUAACAAACCAAUACAAUUGAUUGAACCAAGCUAAAAAAAACCAGUGGAACCAUUUUCUCUGUUUUUAAAUAUUUUUUAUUUUAUGUAUUUCUAAUAAUUUAUUUGAUUGAACAUACGAGUUGGUCAAACGGAGAAUGGGUAGCCUGACAGGCUCAACCAUCGAUAUAGUUCUAAAGAAAAAAAAAGAAAAAGAAAAAAUAUAUAUAUAUACAAAAGAAGAAAAUAAUAAAAUCUUUUUGAAAAAAAAGUAUAAUUUAAGCAUGAAUUUUCAAGUUAAGCCAAAAAAAAAUCUGAAUGCAAGAAAUAAAUAAAUAAAUAAAAAGAAUUGGGAAAAUAAUACUAUAAAAAAAAAUUCAAAUGGUAGAAUUAAAAGUUUUGAGGUUGAAAGAAGAUGCGUGGUGGGCACUUGGUACAAUCAAACAAUGUGUAGGGUGGGAAUCAACUUAAAUUUCUGUGCCCAAAAAGCUGACUUUUGGGGAUCCUAAUAUCCCUACCCACGAACCCACAACUCGAUCCAAAGGGUAUAUAUCCUUGCCUUCUGCUACUCAUUUUUCUAUUUCACUAUGCUUAUCUUGUCCUUCCUUUUUCACUUUGAUCAAAUCAAUUUUUAUAUUUCUUUUUAUAAUUUUAUUUCGAAAUGGUUUUAUCUUGAACACGAGAGUCUUAAAUUUAAUUCAGUAAAUUAAUUUAAUGUAAUUUUGACUUAAUGGUAAGUUUAAAGUUUUGAGAAUUUUUAAUUCUAAAUUUUUAUUUUAUAUAAAUUAUGUGUAAAUUUUAAUUUUAAUUUUAAUUUUAAUUUAUUUUAAAUCUUACAUGUAUGAAUUAUAUUUAAAUUUAUUCUAAUUUAAUUAUUAAUCUUAUCGAAUUUUACAAUUUUAAAUAUGUAUUAUUUAUAUCUACAAUUGCAAUUAUACUUGUAUAAAUAACUUUAAAAAAACCUCAAUAAAUGAAAAUUACACACAUGAUUUUGGGUUUAAUUUAAAAGAUUUGUGAAAAUUACUUUUAAGAAAUUAUAUUAUUAAAAUUCUUCUAUUUCUCCUAUGCACAAAAAUGCAUAAAUGUGUCGUUCAAACAUUUGUUUUUAUAUAUACUCACUUAUUAAUUUAAACUGUACUUUGCACUAAAUAAAAUAAAAUUUGUAUCAUUGAUAUUUGAUAAUCUAUUACUUACCAUAGAAGCUCAUCGUAGGUGAAGCUUCUCCAGAUCGGCAAACUUCUAUCCAAUGUUUCUGUUAUGAGUAAAUAAGGUCCAAUGUUUUAUUUAGAUAUAUUCAAGUUUUUAUACAAUAUUUAUUUUUAUUUAUAAUUCUUUUGAAUUCUUAAAUUAGAAAAAAUUACACGCUUAAAUACAUUUAGAUCCAUAUCUUCAUUGUUAUUAUAAUAACAACGGUAUUAAUUGAGCUAAGGUUGAAUUAACUAAUAUAUCCAACUUAGUUUCUUGUGCCCACUUAAUUAAUUCUAGCCCAAAGAGAAUUUAACAUUAAUGGCAAAGACUAACAUCUUAGGUCUUUUAGUACCCAGGUUUGAAUUCUACUCUAUGUAACUCUCAUGUGUGGUUCUCAAAUCUCACCAUACACAGUUACAAUAUGAAGAUUGUAUUCGAUUCAUCGUCCUUCUAUAUUUAUAUUAGUUUAAUUCUACUUUUUAAUUACUCUAAUACAUUUAUAAUGGUUGUAUUCAUUUAUACUUGUAAGAAAAAUCUAGACAGCUGUUAAUUAAAUUUUUUUGUAAACAUUGUUGUUUCAACCACCCUUCCAAACCUUUGAUCUAUAAAAAAAGAAAUUCAAAAAUUUGAGAUGUUUUUUUGUGCCACAUUCAAUUGUCAAUGGGAAUAAAUUCCUGGGAAAACAAAGUUACAAGCAUAUGAAUUAUGAAAUAAGAUAUUGAAGGUUUUGUUAAGAUAUCGUUAUUUCAAGCAUUGAAAAUUCAGGCUAGGGGUACAAAAAGAACACUUUGGUUUGCCUUGUUUUCUUGUGUUAGUUAGAGCUUUUACAUUUUCCACAAUUCCAAUCCU